UGGAUAUAGAACCCCAAUAUAUAUGCUCAACCGUUUUAUAAGACUACAGGCGAUGGUUGAGAUUAUCACUAAUGAGACAGCUCAAGCACUUAAUCUUCUAGCUAAGCAAAAUACUCGGAUGAGAUCAGCCAUCUAUCAAAAUAGAUUAGCUCUGUACUACCUAUUAGCAGUAGAGAGAGGUGCACGCGGAAAGUUUAAUCUCAGCAACUGUUGUUUGCACAUAAAUGAUGAAGGGCGUUCAGUGGCUGAACUUACAAGCCACAUGGUUAAACUGACGCAUGUACCUACUCAGGUCUGGAAUGGGUAUAAUCCUAGUAGUUGGUUUGGAAGUUGGUAUGAGCAGCUUGGAGUGAUUAAGGCGUUAGUAGGACGAGUAGUAUUUAUUAUAUUCUUAUGUCUCUUUCUGCCCUGCCUAAUUCCAUUAAUGGUCAGAUCUAUACAUAGCAUCAUAGAGAGUACUAUAGAAAGAAAGACAGCUGCACAUGUAAUGGCUGUCUAUAGAUAUGAAUCCCUAGCCCAAAGAGAACAUAUUCAGGAUGAGGAAUGCUGAAGGAGUUUGUGAUGAUGCUAAGAUGCUUACAAGGUCUGCUCUGGUCCAAUGGCUACUUGAGAGGUGUUGGUAAACUAUGAUUGGUGAUGCAUCUGGAAUAAUUUUGUUUCAGAGGCAUCAAAGGGAGGAAUGUGAUGGAAUUUCGGUGAAAUGUAAAUUUAGUAGGCUGAGAAUUCCAUGUGGCAUAUGUGUAUGUUGUAUCAGUUAGUUAGUUACACAUAAGAUACUGUCAUCAAUGUACUGAGCAUGUGUGGGAAUGCAGGAACUGAAAUUACACUCCUUUCUCCUUUGUUUUGGAUGAGCCAUGUGGUCUGCCCAUAUAAGGAAAUCCAAAUCCCGUCCACUGAUUGGUUAAGGGUAUGUGCGGGUGGAGCUAUUAAUGGGAGGAGUUAUAGUUCUAUAAAAAGCAUGUACUCCAUGUGUUUGUCCCUCAGACCUGUUUUGGAACGUUAGUUCAUCUGAGGCCCGAUCGGUAUGUUAAU